GAUCAAACCCCACUCUGCAUUUCCACUACUAUUUCUUCUUCCUUUCAUGUCCACAUAAAUCUCCCUCUCUCUCUCUCUAGAUUUCACUUCUGUAAUUUGAGGGCCAUUUUUCUAGGCAACUCUCCAGUCUCUGUCUCUGUCUCUAAGAAGAUGGCUGACGAGAGAGCUGAAGAUAAUGCCGUUGUCUCCGGCCAACCCCAGAAAACCAUAGCAGACUUUGAUCCCCCCGGGAAGCCAAAGAGAAACAAGUACGCCUUUGCUUGUGCCAUCUUGGCUUCCAUGACUUCCAUCUUGCUUGGUUAUGAUAUUGGUGUGAUGAGUGGAGCUGCAAUCUACAUAAAAAAGGACCUCAAAGUGAGCGACGUAGAAAUUGAGGUUCUUAUCGGUAUUCUGAACCUUUACUCCCUCAUCGGCUCGGCCGCAGCCGGCAGAACUUCCGACUGGAUCGGCCGUCGGUACACCAUAGUCCUCGCUGGAGCCAUCUUCUUCGCCGGAGCUCUCCUCAUGGGAUUUGCCCCCAACUAUGCCUUCCUCAUGUUCGGCCGGUUUAUCGCCGGAAUUGGCGUCGGCUACGCCCUUAUGAUCGCUCCGGUCUACACCGCCGAGGUCUCUCCGGCGUCGUCUCGUGGGUUCCUCACAUCUUUCCCAGAGGUGUUUAUCAAUGCCGGGAUAUUGUUCGGCUACGUGUCCAAUUAUGGCUUCUCAAAGCUCCCAACUCACUUGGGAUGGCGGCUCAUGCUCGGUGUGGGAGCCAUCCCCGCUAUUUUCCUAGCCAUCGGCGUCUUAGCCAUGCCGGAGUCGCCUCGUUGGCUCGUCAUGCAGGGUCGGCUCGGGGACGCCAGGAAAGUCCUCGACAAAACCUCAGACUCCCUUGAAGAGUCCAAGCUUCGGCUAGGCGACAUCAAGGAAGCCGCCGGCAUCCCCGAACACUGCAACGACGACAUCGUUGAGGUGAAGAAGCGCAGCCAAGGCCAAGACGUGUGGAAAGAGUUGCUCCUUCAUCCAACACCAGCCGUCCGUCAUAUUUUAAUGUGUGCCGUUGGUUUACACUUCUUUCAGCAAGCGUCGGGUAUAGACGCCGUCGUUUUGUACAGCCCAAGGAUCUUCGAGAAGGCUGGGAUCACCAACUCCGACAAAAUUUUACUCUGCACUGUGGCCGUUGGAUUCGUCAAGACCGUUUUCAUCUUGGUCGCCACGUUUAUGCUCGAUCGGAUCGGACGACGUCCGUUGCUUUAACUAGUGUGGCCGCAUGUAGUCACGCUUGCAUUACUCGGCUUGGGCCUUACGAUUAUCGAUCACCACCACGAGAGGAUCAUGUGGGCUAUUGUUUUGUGCUUGACCAUGGUAUUAGCGUACGUCGCGUUCUUCUCGAUCGGGAUGGGCCCCAUCACAUGGGUCUACAGCUCUGAGAUCUUCCCGUUGCAGCUACGUGCUCAAGGUUGCAGUAUAGGAGUGGCCGUGAACAGGGUGGUGAGUGGGGUCCUCUCGAUGACUUUUAUUUCGCUGUACAAGGCCAUCACAAUUGGCGGGGCCUUCUUUCUUUUUGCGGCAAUUGCAGCGGUUGGCUGGACGUUCUUUUUCACAAUGCUCCCAGAAACACAGGGUAGAACCCUUGAGGAUAUGGAGGUCUUGUUUGGAAAAUUCUACAGGUGGAGAAAAGCCAAUGCACUCCUCAAACAGAAGCAAGGUGAACACGGUGAUGGCAACAAUAAUCCAAACAACCCUCAAAUCCAAUUAGGAACAAAAGGGGUAGCUAAUUAGAUUAGUCAAUCCACUCGAUGGUAGUAUAUUGUAGUAGAUAUAGACUCUUUUGUAUGCUUCUCAGUUAUAUGUAAUUCACAAGUACAAGUAUUUCUUCUCUAAAUCAGCUAUGAAAGAUGAAAGGGUUGUCCAAAGCAAUGAGAUAGACUUGUGAUUUCGACACCCAAACCACCAAAAACAUGUUGGUUGAGACUAAUAACAUUUCCUAUUAACAACUGUUA